rnacentral:pre_miRNA from 1 species
AAUAAGUUUAUUUUUUAUUUUUCGAUAUGAUGUUUUGAUUUUUCGUCUUAUUUGAAUUUUUUGUGAUUAUUAUUUUUAUUGUUACUAGAUGAUAAAACAUAAAUAGUACUUUAUGUGUGACUAAUUUUUUAAAUUUUUUAUAUAAGUUUUUUAAAUAAAACGAAUAUUCAAACUUUAAAUACAGAAAUCGAAAAAUGAGGUUAUU